GAAGAUCUGAGGAUGGGAGGCGCCCUAGCGGACUCCGUAGCAGCAACCGCUGCCUAGUGAGGCCCGGUUAGUGAGGCUCCAUGCUUUAUUGGAUGGAGGUUUUCCUCAGCUAAUUUCAUUCUGUGCCCACACUCUGUCAUCCACUUAGCAUUCCUGGAGAAGCCAGCACAGCUCCUAUCGGGGGACUCCGUAUGACAACUCACACCCCGGCUAACAGCUAAGAAACCUCAAGCUCUUCCUCCAUCCGGAAACAUGGCUUCAUCCUGCUGUCCUUGAGGAUUUCAGCCUGUUCCUUUUGCUCUGUUAGCUGGCCAACAUCCAUGGAGCCAAUUCCAAAUACGGAAUCUCUACUAUGAGAAGCAUCUGGCUUACGCCCGGUUCUUGGUGCCGUGUCGGUGUGGGCAUCGACAAAUGGAGGUUCCACCAAGAUCAGAGAAGAGAAGAUUUCUGAAGGCUGGCCAGUGAGGAAGCAGGGACAUAUUGGGGAACGACUUGAUGAUGGCCCUUGGUGUUAUGGCCCUCCAAGUUUUGGCCCUAGGGCCCUUGUGCUUCUUAUCACAUGCGCAAACAGCACUUCCAGUCCUGGGCAGCAACUAAGCAGGCAGUUUUCAAAUGAAGCCAAAGAGUGAUGGACGAAUUGCCCACGUUUCCCUUGACAGCAGCACGAAAGGCAUCGGUGUUGGGAUGGGCAUUUGGAGGAUCUGGGUAUGAAGCCAUUGAGUUCCAGAGUUUACAGGACAGAUUGAUGAGGUUUGUAAUCCUUCCUAAGGGUAGCUAACUGGGGCUCUCCCCAGGUAGACAAGACGGCAAGGCUAUUCCCCUCAUCCUCUGUGCAGACCCACCUGGAGUUAUGUACCAUUGGUGCCAGGCCAGAGGCCAUGGCGAACCUGAGGAGCACUGCCUUGGAAGAGCAGGCAUAGUAGGACAACGGUUAGAUUUAAAAUGUGUGUGGUCAGAAACCAGUCUAUGCAAACCACCUCUUAGCUGUGGCCCAUGUGACAGAAGGCAAAGUCCUUACUGUUGUCUGCUCUCCAGUUUCCAGAGUUGGGGACUCUGGUGCUAAGUUUGAGUAGGCAUCGGCAGAGGAAACAGCUCUGGAAGUGUGGACAUAGGCAUAGGGAAUAGGAAGUGUGGAUGUCGUCAGAAGAAAUAGCCUGGAAGUGCAGCCUCGGAUCUGCUCCCACCUCGUCAGUUCACGUCUUUGGAAAAAUUCAUCUGUAAAGUUCUCCACAUCUUUACCACAUCUAAGAAGUUCGUGACCUUGAUGUGACAAGUGACACUCAACCCCUAGAAACAGGACUUAACUUUCUGCUUAUAUUGUUACUUUCCCUUGAAAGCUAUACUGGUGACAUAUAUUUUUUUCAGUGGUCUUUGCAUCUCAGGGAGUAAGUUCAUGGCCAAGAACCCUGACGGUUCUGUAGCUUUCACAGCCAUUUUCCUGGGUCAGCCUCAACUUCCUACUGAGGAAGCUCUUUGCAGUGCACUUGCCGCUCACAUAUACAUACAUAUGUAAGCACACACACACACACACACACACACAUGCAUACACACCCACACACAUACACACACACACACACACACACACACACACACACAAGCACACAGGCACACUGUGCAGACCUAUCUCUUUCUGAACUUGAAGUUCAUGGGAAAUACAUGCUAUAGCAAAUUAAAAUGGGAACUUUAGAUCAGUUUUAGGUAUGCAGUACCAUCAGGUCAUCUGUGAAACAUAUCCUGCUGUACAAGUCCUCCUGUGUGACCUCCUUUCACAACAUUAUAGGAAGGCAACUGCAUUUCCAUCCACAAACGCUGCAUCCCUGGCUAAACAAUGAAACACAGAGAAGAAACUGCACUGUGGGCCUCUACUUGCUUUUCAUAGGUCAGAGCUACUCCAUCUUGCCACCUCUAGCUGCAAUGUAAGAUAAAAAUCUAUACUUUUCUCUGGGUCCAUUGAUAUCCUGAACCAGAUCAGUCCCCAUUAAAAAGGGGAACACUUAUGAAGGAGGCUAUUCACAGUGAGCGUCAUGCCAAGAGGGAUCUAAGUAGGGAACUGGCUGUGGUGGCACACACCUAUAAUCCCAGCACUCAGGACGCUAAGGCAGGAGGAUUAUCAAAUUCAAGAGCUACAUAGUAAGACUGUCUUGAAAGAAUAAAUUGUGACCAGAUGGAUUGUGACCAGGUAGCUAUAAUUGUAUGGGAAGAAAAUGUCAUGGCCUCUGCUGCAUUUCAACUGAGCUGCAUGAAGAGGAGCAGGUGGUGAGAGCUGAAUCUAGCCACCUGCUCAGAAAUGAUUUGUAGAGCAUUUGGACCAUAAGGAGUUGAAAACACCGUAGACCAUUUAAUGGUGAAACCUAAUCCCACAGAGACUGUGCUACAAGGUGUGGCCUCCUCGAGGUGGUCAGGUUUUAGUGUCCCUGUUCCAGAGAUCUAGCACCCUUCCAGCAUCUGCCAUCAGAGGACACCACAAGAAGGCAGUGUGCAUGAACCAUGAGGAUAGCACUCUGAAAGACAUCUAGAGUGCUAUGGCCACCAUCUUGACUCUCAGUCUCUGGGACUAUUAGAAAUAAGUUUCUGAUGUUUGUUCACUGUGAAAGAAUAGCACACUUUUCCCUUUCACAUCAUGAGGACUUGUCUUGUUCUAUGAGUGGAUUCACAGAAUCUUCACUUGUCAGCCUAUUGUUCCUCUAACAAAUGCAUUUAAACAAAAAAAGAAAAAGAAAAAAAAAACCAAAGGAAAAACUCAAGGUAGACAGCUCCUUAUGUUGACUCCCAAGGUUGACUUUUGACCUCUACUUACAUGCACACACAUGUGCCUGUGAAUACACACACACACACACACACACACACACACACACACACACACACAAAUGAUUUAAGAGGUUCUGUGUGUUUUUCUCCCAGUGUUUGAAUAUCUUUCUAAGUUUUGUGAGAUAUUCUGCAGAGUGAACUAGAUUGAAUUAUCCUUAGUCUGGACAAGCUAAUAAAAGACCACAGAGGUUUGCAGACAGGAAACCCAGUCUCACCCUCUCCAGGAAGGCUGGACAACCUGCUGUUCCUGGUCAUGACAGGAUGCCUCCUGAAAAUAAAGCAGGAAGAAGUUGGGCACUGAAACCAAGGAAGAUUUUUGCAACCACAUUGCAUUUGGCACACAGCAGUCCAAGGGUGUCAAACUCUAUCAUUAGAGGAAGAAAGGUCAACUCCAUUAACACAGUUUACAGACAAGAACUAGACCCUGCUCAAAGUGACUCUCCAAGGAGAAAGUUGCUCUCACAAUAAGCAGAGCACAGAAACAGAUAUACAAUAGUUCAAGUGUCAUCUGAAAUGCUGUGGGACUGGGAAACCCCACUGAAGAUGUCUCUGAGCUUGAACCUCAGGUACUGACGACUGGGAAACUAUAGUUCUUUGUGACGAACGGCAAUGCCUUUCCUCUUCAGAUAAUCUAUGCAUUGGUUUUGGAAUAGGUGUUGUUACUGACAAAGUUAGGCAUCAUCUCCUAGCCCUUCCCUGUUUCCUUUGAGAGAAGCUGUACACAUGGCUGUCUUGAAUGCCUUAGGACGUUCAGAUGAAAGGCUCAGCCUGACAGAACUUGUGUUCGUUGAACAGACCCCUCUACCACUUCCGGGAAUGUGAUACUAUGGUGCAAUAUGGACUAUCAGGAAUAUGAUGGCCAUCCACUCUAAGACUUCUCUAUAGGGUACAGAUAAUUGAAGUAUUGAGUAGAUUCUGUAUACACAUGGGAAGGGCAUUGGCAAGACUGGGACCAAAAGUAACGGGAAGAAAUUCUGGUAUCUAUGGGACAAGGCGUUCUAAGUUUCUUUGAGUUUUCUCAUAGCUGUGACCAACCCUUGAUAAGACGUAUCCUAAGGGAACAAGCCCUUCUUUUGGCCAAGGAGAAGGCAUGGUAGCAUGAUCAGCUUCUGCCUGAGGUGGCAAAACCAGCUUUCAUCUGAGGUAGCAGGAGCUUGCAGUGUUACUGGCUCACAUCUUAGCAGCCAACCAGAAAAGCCUAGAAAUCACGGCUGGGAAAAGGGCUCGUCUAUAAGUCCCAGGACCUGUGCUUCCAGCAACCCAACUCGUUCUUUAAGAUCCCACCUCCUGAAGGUUCCACAAUCCCCCAAACAGGACCAUUGUGUAGUGACACGUGAGCCUGUGGAGACAUUUUACAUCCAAUCUUCAGCAAGAAGUGAUCUCUUUAAGGGUCUGACAGAAAAUUCUCAGCUGUAUUUUGAUGGGUUUUAGAAUACCUAUCCUAGCUCUGCCCUUUCUCAAGAAAUCUGGUUCUGCCUACAAAAUCUGAUUGACGGAUGAAACAGGCUCACAUUCAUGACCAGCACUGGGUGGGACGAGAGGUCAGAGCAGACAUGUCCUGCUCCAGAGUCACACAUCGAAGCAUUGGUCUGACAUCAUUUGCUCUCUAAUUGGCAUCACAAACUUAACACAGCCACCACACAAAUUUAAUCCCCUGCCCGUCUGCUCUUGCUUUCCCAGUCUUCCCCAUGCAUACAGUGCCUCCGGUAGAAGCUGUGUGGUCAGCAUCGAUAUAUCCUUCCCUCCUCAGCAUCCAACUAACCCACAAACUGUGCAGCAUCCCCAUGACUGCUUCUCACCAACUGUGCUACCAGCCCGGGGCCAAGCCACUGCUGCCUCUCAAGGGAGAUUCCUUUAGUUACCUCCUACCUGCCUUCCUCACUCCUGCGCUUGCUCUCUACAUCCUGUUGUUCACACAGACACUGGAGUACCUUUUGAAGCAAUACUGCAAGUUUCAGGUCUUUCCAAUCCCUGACUCCUCCUUUCUCCUGGGAGGUGAAAAACUACAUAUCCCAAAACAUCCUACAAGUCCUUCUGUGAGUUCUCACGACCUCUCUCAGACCUUCCAUGCUGCCACAUCUCUGUGUGCAUUUUGCUCCAACUACCAUGGCUUCCGGGUGUCUCUUCAAAGCAUGAGUCACCUUGCUUACGGCCUUGGCACAGACUGACCCCUCUGCCAGAAGUCAUCCUUCCUCAGAUUUCUCCCUUGAUGCUCUGAUUAGCAUUCACGGCUGAAUGCCUCCUUUGACCACACCUUUUAAGUGGCACAGCAUGCUCUUCUUCUGUGGCCCUCUCUCUAUCUCCUUUCCUCACGGUACUUUUCUGCACCAUCAACAUUGUGUUGACUUGUUUGCUCUGCUUUUCCGAGUAUUGUCUUAACUUCCACUAAGGGGAAUGGCUUGACCCCAUGCCCAAAUGCAGCAGGCAUUCUUUAGUAUUUAGUCAGUGGAGGCAGAUGAGUCUGGGCAUCUAUAGACAAUAGAGAAAGCUAGACCACAUGGGUCAAGAACAUGCAAGGUUGGAGGCCAUGUUGGAUCUGCUGGAGGAAGCUGGCUAAGGAAGGAGCUAGAGAGAGGAAAAAAGUAGACAAGCCUGAUCAUUGCAGACUGUUUCAUUUCUAGUCACUUCCCUCCUGUCCCUCUGUUCAUAAGUCUAGCUGUCUCAUAGCAUCUUUACCUGUAGUGAGACCUACCUUUGGAGGUUUUCUGUUAGAUCUUACCAUGAAACCUACUCUAUCUGAACUCCCAGCCAUUUUUUUUUUGUACAGCCAGCAACACUGAGCACAGGCUUAGAUCAGACACUGUCAAGUUCCCAUUGCCCUGCUAUCUUUUCCCUUUCUAAUCCCAAAAUCGCAGCUGGGAGAAAUGAGCUAAACAGCCAUUGUGUUUCCUACCUUACAUGGUAUCAAGAGCCUGGCGGGCACACAUCUUUCCACUGCCCCACAGUAGUAGUCCCUACCAGAGGGAGAUGACAAAACCAGAACAGACCAGUCCCUCCUCUAAUAGAACAGUCUACAGCUUGAGUGUGGGACCCACUCUUUGGACAAUUGGUCAAUGUGGAAUAGCCUUCUUUCUCCACAAAGGGAAUUCAAUCAUCCCUGCUGCUCAGAGCUUAUUUUUAUUAAAUAACUAACGCUUGAAAGAGUACCCUCUGUAUUUCCUCAAAGAUUCUGGGCGUACCAGCAACGGGCCCUAUCUAUAGCAACAACGGCUGUUGUUUGCACAGCCCCCUUCUCACACACCUCCUACAGCUGAUUGUUUGACAGCGCUAAGUGAAUAUUAACUGCACAGCAUAGUUAAUAAAUAGGAUUACUUUCCCUUUGCACACAUGAACACAUAAAGCCAACACUUACGGAACUCCUAUCAUGCCAUGAGGAAGUGAGAAGAUGAAGACAUGAGGAUAAUGGCAAACUCGCCUAAGCAUCACAGAGCCCACUCAGGGACAUGUCGCUGUGAUGGGGCAAGCUACUGAUUCCUCUGCCUCCAAUUAUCACAUUUCCCGUCAAAGACUAGGAAAGACUUGACUGCAAACAGAACAGUUUUUACUGCAUUUUGCCAACCUUUUUAAUAAAAAUAGAUCUAUGCCACCACCCACAUUCUCAGGAAAAAAUUCUACCCAGGAAACAUAAUUCCUCUCUUCCAGUGACUUCACAUGAAAGGUUAACGGUACACUGUGCUGUCGGCAGCCAGCAACAUUCAUAUUUUCACAUCUCACUUAAGAGCUCCAUUAUUCUGUAGGACCGUAAGCAAAUGACUUUAUUUCAACCACCACCAACAGACCUUGCUAGCCUAAUACUAACUAGGCUCACUUUGACAGCUUCCUACAAGCAUUCAUUUCAAGACUGGCCUAAAACAAUAAAUGUUACCACCUAUUCCUGCAGAUGGCAGGGACGGGGAAGGCAAGCCAGUUGUACCACAGCAGGUCUGCAGCCUGGGCUAUUAAGCAGCCCAUUGUUUUGUUCCUGUUAGGAUUGGUCACUGAACUUCAAGGAACCUCAACCCCACGGGACUCAAGUACUCUUGUCUGAAAUGGGUAGGGAGAAGGAAUCUAGCAUGGAUCCCUGCUCAUUAAAGGGAAAGCCGCUGGGUAUUUCUUUCUUCCCUGAAAGAACCUACCUGUGGGCUCUAGAAACAGAAGUUCGUGGAUACUUGUCAUAGUGGCCAUUAAGGAACUGGAGCUCCAGCAACCCAUGCUAUCCCAAAGACACACUGAGACUGGCAUGUGUCACACUAAAUGGAUGGUUCUCAGAAUAUACACAACCAUGUGCUUCAAGAAACUCUAGCUGGCUCAGGCUGCCCACUUGCUUUAUAAACCUUAAGGCCAAGUGUCUGAGAACAUGAGAGGGCCUGAGGGUCCCAGAUGUGUGAUAUAUUUUGUUGAUAGAAAAGGUUUGCAGGAAACUGUUCGAGAGAUUGGUGGUGUUUUCCUUCUGCAAUGUGGUACCUAGAGCACCUGUACCGUGUUCAUCUACAUCACAUUCGGGCUCCCAGCUCAUUCCUUGGCUCCAAUUGUCUAACAGAAAGGCAUUAUUUUAGCAAGACCUGUAUCUAAGCGCAGUACAAACAAAGAAGAAUAUUUAUUUAAAAUAACAAGCUCGAAGAGACAAAUGCCUUUUAGGACAAGGCUGACACCUGCAUGUUUGUUUAUCUGUUUAUUAUUACAUUCUCAGAGACAGGAAGGGGCUGGUCUCUUGUACAGGCCCAACAAGUUAGAGAAAUGCACCUUUAGGAACAGAAGCAAUGCAAGGGUCUUUCAAUUUAUUUAUUGUUAUCAUGCUUCAUUCCAGGUCUCCCUUUGAGACAUGAGUUCAUGAGUUCUUGUCAUAUCCAUUGCACAGUUAUUUAAGAAGCUCUGUAGCUGAGAUAUGAGUCUCUGUCUCUAUCACAAAGUGAUACAAAUGGCAGUGUCUCUCUGAACAAGACAAAAGUGGCUCAUCCCCCCUCAGCACCUCCACUUCCACUCCAAAUAGUCAAAUGCUCAUCCUUCGUACAGGCCACAGAGUACACUGCUGAAUACAGGAGAUUCGAACUUCAUUAGUCAUCCUAGAAUCAUUUGUUCUUUACGCCAUAAGUGAAGAAAUCAGCAUCUAUAUAAUGGUGAGGGUGGUAGUAGUGUAGUAGAGUAGUAGUAGUAGUGGUAGUAGUAGUAGUAGUAGUAGUAGUAGUAGUAGUAGUAGUAGUAGUAGUAGUAGAGCUCUCUUCCCCUACAGGGUGCAGUGGUGAUGGCUGCAGAAUUCCUUCUGAAUUCAGCUGUGGCUCCAUCCCAGCCGAGGCCGUGACUCAGAUUCAAGGCCAUUCACUGGGCCACUUUGAAUAAUGCAGCAGAAAGCUAGAACAAAGUAAAAAAUUACCCUGAGGUCUGAGCAUCCUCUCUCCCUGCUUCCAAGAGGCCAAAAGAAAAGUCCAUUCGCUUCAUUCCUUGUAUUGAUUAACAGUAAUUUUCCCCCAGUAGUUGAAGAAGAAGACAAUGACAAAUACUCAUCAGAGAUGAAUCUAAUCCCAGGGUCUUCUUUGCUUAUGAACUCAUAAAGCCUGACACAGCUCUAAUGUGUGGGCUGGCCCACAACCUUUACUCUCAAUUGUCUAAUCAAAUCUACAAACGAAAGCCAAGAAGAUACCUUCCUUCCCUUAAAAUCAUCCAUAAACCGUAGAUUACUCAAGGCACCUCAGCAUAAUUUAGGUUUAUCUUUGCAAUAAACAGAACAUUCCAGAACAUACCUUCUAGAUCUUUCCUGACCAGCCAAGCCUCAUAACUACAGUCAUGAAAUUAAACAAGAGAGCAAACUGCCUCUACCCAGCACAAGCUGAAGGGCCUUUUUAUUUUUCCUCUUUAUUUAACUAACAUAUUAACCAAACUAAAGCUUAUGUGUACUUGUGUAUUUUUUAAAAUAUGUCUCAGUUGUUAAAGUGCUUGUCAGGCAAACACAGGGACCUGAACUCAUAUUCCUAGCAUCCACAUUAAACACUGGGCAUAGUAGCAUGCACCCAGAAUCCAUUUUGUGCUAAGGAGAUGGAGACAGGAGCAUCCCUAGAGGUCCUGGGACAAUGAGCCUAAACAAAUCAGUGAGCUCAAGGACCAGAAACCAGGUCCCAAAACAACAAGCACACAGACAGAAACAAUGGAGUAUGCCAGAGAAGCCAUAGAAAGAUAUCCAACACGUGUGCAUGCAUACCAAACACACACACACACACACACACACACACAGAGAGAGAGAGAGAGAGAGAGAGAGAGAGAGAUCCACAAAGCUAAAAGGAAAAAUUCAAACGUAGCCUAUACCAAGCCUUACCAUUCGCAGCUCUGCUACCUCCAAUUCCAUAAUUUUAUAUAAAUUCUUUUUUAUCUCAUAUUUCUCUUUGUAUCUGGGCAUUGUCCAUCAUUUCCUGCUUUGAUAGCAUCAUUUGGCCGUGGGGCUUCCUCCAUUUCCCCACUGUGUCUGGUGUCUACACAGGAAUAUCACCUUUGGAUGACUGCUUCAAUAUGGUAUUCUCAUUGCAAUAACCAUGAACCCAGACGGCCUUGGUCCAAACCUAGCAUCCAAUGGGAACUAGCCCCAUGAACUCGAGUGUGAUAUGAGGUGUGUAUGAGACAGAACCAGCAUCCACAGCUACUUCUUGGGUCUGUGGUGUUGUGUCAACGGAUGAACCAUGCCUUGGUGUGCUGAGCAGAGCCUGGGAAAGCACUGUCUCACCGAGAAGAGAAUGACACCCGACCCUGGAUUACUUUCCCUGUGCACUCCCCAUCUGACCUUGCCUUGAUUUUCAUUCACUUACACUGUCACAUAACUUUAUGUAUCCUGUAAAUUCCCCUAAGACUCAAAUUCCUCUUGCUACAGAUAUUGUUUUACAUAGUUUUUGUUUGUUUUCCUUGAAAACAUUCUUCUGAGAGCAUUUCAUCCAAUUCCCAGGAGCCUGAUGUACACAUCAAAUAGGGGAUUAUUUCUCCCAGAACUCACAGGCUAGGGAUGGGUCAUAAGUUCAAAGGUAACCUGAGCUACACAGAAGUAAAAGCCUGUAUUGAAAAGGAUUUACAUUCCUUUGGAGGGGCUGUUUGUUUGCUUUGUUUUUAUUUUGUUUUGUUGUUGAGACAGGGCUGACUGUGUGGCCCUCGGCUUGCCUUGAACUCAGGAAGAUCCAUGGGAGGAAAACGCUUUCAGCCAAGUGGCCUUGGAAAUGUCUCCAUUACUUAUGAGGUGGCAUAUGUAUGAAUGGAAUUGUUUCCAGCCAUGAAUGGAGGUGUGUAUUUUACAGAAAAAUGUGUGUGAUCAGAGAUGACCAUGUAAUGAGGAUCAAGCCAGACACAGAGCAGUAUAUGCUCUCGCUUAGAUUUCAUACAGAUACAGAAAGUCACACAUGUACAGACACAGAGUAUUAUAUGCUCUCCCUUAGAUUGUAUUCAGAUACAUAAAUCAUACGUGUACAUGAUGUGUGAUAAAAGCAAAACUGUCUAGAUGUACAAUGAGGAGUAAGAGCAGGGGCAUGGAGGAGAGGGGAAGACCUGGAGGGGUGUCCAACGUGCAGUGUGCACUUGUGUGCCAGUGACUUCUGUAUCACAGGAAAAUGCACAAUGCAUAUCAUUGUAAAAUGUGAAAAAUGAAAAUGCCUUUGCUCCUCCUUUGCAUUGGCUGGAUUUCUGAAGACUGUGAAGUGCAGAAUUCUAAGCCAAAACAAUUUGCCCCAAAAUGUUGCAGGCAAUGCUCUGCUGCUGUCCAGACUCCAGGGCUCCCACCGAGGAGAAGUCUAGUGCUGCUUGGAAAAAUGAUUUCUUUUUUCUCUUGCAGCUCAGAAGACUUUCUUCACUCUGGUAUAAAAUGUCAUGAGGACAUGAUGUCAUGAGUUCUUGUCAUAUCCAUUGGACCUAAUCAGCCUGCCUCCAUCUUGGGCUUAGAAAGCCUUCUUAGAGAAAAGACAAACUAGGCUCAUUCCUGUUUAUGUGAAACCUCUGUCUCUCAAGGACUGGGCUAACCCUAACUACAAGUGGUUAUAUUUGUACUCUAUACUGCCUUUCCAGGAAACAGCAACCCUGUCUUUGUUUCAAAAAGUUGUUUAUAACCAUCUUGCAACCCUAACUCUGUUUUAAAAGGUUUUAUGAGCACCUAUUACUACCUUGUUAUGACUACCUGUUGUCAUGACUACCUGUUGUCAUAACUGCCUUGUAAUUCCCACCUAGCAGCCAUGCCCUUUGUUUCAGAAGGUUGUUAGCUGGUGUUUGGUUUUGGACCAGGACAAGGGACUGAGGUGCAUAUUUUACAGAACAAAGCAGCCUGGCCUCCUCCGGGUUCUCUCAGCAUCCCUCAGUCCCUACCUGGCAUACCCUGUCCCCAACCUUGAACAUUCCAGCCCAGAGGCUGGGUUGCCUUUCCCCAGAGGAUCUUCCCUAUAUAAUCCAGAUUUUGCCCCCCACCCCGUGUGUGAGUGUGUAUGUGUGUGUGUGUCUGUGCAUGUAUCUGUGUGUGUACACAACUGUGUUUGUGUGUGUGUAUGAAGGUGCUUAAAUGUAUGGUUGUGCACAUGGAUGAAGAGGCUAGAAUAGGACAUCAAGUGUCUUCCUCUAUCACUCUCUUGCAUUACUGCCUUGAGACAUGCUCUUUCACUGAGAUAAACACUCAUCCCUAACAGGUCAGCCAACUUUCAAAAUCCACCUGUCUCCACCCUAUGCCACCCCAGCACGCUGGGGAUUCAAACUCAGGUCCUCACACUUACAUAACAAGUGUUCCUUAUGUUCCACUCCUUAUGUUGGCCCUUCUGUGCUGUCUUGGGAAUCUCCAUUAGUUGGCAACCAGUUAGCAUGCCCCUUCCCACUACUGCAUUUUCUGACUCCUUACCCAGGGUCUUUCUGUUCAACUUCCAAAGAUCUCUAUGUGUUUCGUUUUGUUUAGAGACAAGGUCUCAAAUCCUUCGUUGUUACUCAUUGUCUCAUGGCUUCAACUUCCAAUAAUGAUUUCUGUUUUCCCAGUGUCUCAUCUGUAUCACUAGCACACUAUUUUAGUUCAAAGAGUGAGAGAGCCUCUCUUAAUUCUCUACAGUACCACUCUGAAGCUAUCUUGUUAAGGUCGUCUUCAUUUAUUUAUAUUUUUUUUCCUUGGAAUUGCUUUUUUCCCCUUCCCCCAUUCCUAUCUCUAGUCUCCAAGCAAAAUAAGCUCCUCAACCCUCUGCUGACAGUUGGCUUGUUCACAAUCAAGAGACUCAUUAAGAAGAUAAGUGUAAGUGCUUCUUCUACAGAGUGGGAGGAACUCGCAGUGGAUAUGGCUCAGGAGCCUGUCUUAUUAGAGGAGGUGCAGCAUUCCUGCUUUGUUGUCAGUUUUCCCAAUACAGAUAACCUCCCAUUCUUGCCUUGUUUCUACAUGAACACUGUUGGGCAUACCACCAUCACUAAUGGCCAGUGAGACAUGUUUCCACCACUGCCACAUUUUCCCUAUGUACAUGCUCCUAGUAAAGCCCACCAUCAUGGCCUAGCCUGUCACUGUCUCUAUGCCAACUAAGACACAGCCAUUUUGUGUCCUCUCCUCCCCAAGAAAAUCUCUUGCAUAGGUUUUGUUGCGUGGUAUGAUUUUUAUGGUAUUUCUUGGCCCCUAAUCAGCCAGAUACUCUUCUGCCACAAAGUCUUUUCAAUCCAGGGCCAUCAGUAGAUAAGUCUAUCUGGAAUUUGGGAGCACAACCCAGUUUAGUAUUGACUGUAAGACUUAUGCAAAACCCUAAAACUCAAGCCCAUUGACACUCACCCAUAGGCUGCUGGCAACCCCAGCUGUGUUCAUUCUUCUUCACAUGUCAUUGUUUCUUUCCCCAUCCCUCAUACACUUGGUGUUUGUAACAUUUGGGUAAUAGUCAGUUACCUUCUCUAUAGAAAGUGUCUUAGCUAGGGUUUUACUGCUGUGAAGAGACACCAUGACCAAGGCAACUCUCACAAGGCAAACAUUUAAUGGGGCUGGCUUACAGAUUCAGAGGUUCAGUCCAUUUUCAUCAUGGCAGCAGGCAGGCAGACAUGGUGCUGGAGAAGAAGCUGAGAAGUCUACAUCUUCAUCUGAAGGAAGCCAGGAGAGGACUAGCUCCCACAUGGGGAAGGGGCAGAGUUUGAGCACUAGGAGCCCUCCAAGCCCACCCCACAGUGAUGUACUUUCUCCAACAAGGUCACACCCAUUCCAAAAAGGCCACCUCCUAAUAGUAGCACUCUCCGUGGGCCAAGCAUGCUCAAACCACCACAGACAGACCAACAAUAAACACUGUUUGAAGAAGCAUGUUUAACAUCACACAACUCAGGUCCUUUACUUUUCAUAUUCUGAUGAGUGACAGAAUCUAACUGAGAAGCCUAACUCCAUGACAUGCUUCAAAUUAGCAGUUUGGAAGACUAGGCCUAAGAACUAGGCAAGUCCAAGCAAGUCAUAUACUAGAAAGAAAGAAAAAAAAGAAAGAAACACCCAGGCUUUAGGCAGCCAGUCAGAAACUGCCCUGCCAUCAGAAGCUACCCCAUCACUUGGCCUAAGGCAAAGACAAUGGGUCAGCAGCAGUUUCCCGGACUUCCCCAGCAACAGUUCCCACCCCUGGUAAUGGUUCUGGAAUGUUCCUAGAAAUGGAGCAAGAUAAAGGUCAUCCACCCUGGAAUCCCCCUAAUGUGCCUUAAAUCUGACCUGUGAGCUCACUUGGUUGUCUCUCCAUUUUGGAUUGGGAGACCCCAGCGUGCUGGACUUCUGCAGAAUAAAACACUCUUUGCGUUUACAGACUAUUUGAGUCUGGGGUGUGAUUCUUUAGAGAAUCACAGACCCUUACACAACGAUCUCAAAGGACAGAGAAAUAUCACCUAAGCAUUUCUCGCUGCAGUGUGAGCAUGACACAAGUCUUCUGUGUACAUUUUACCAACAUCCAGAGCGAAGGACUGUAGAAAUAGAUUUCAGACAUUGCACUAAGACCAAACCAGCAACAAACCUCACCCCAACCAGGUCUGGUAAAACCUGGGUCAUUUUGAAAUUGACCAAACCUCUGACGAGGACCUUGUUCAUACUAAAAAGUCUAAUAUAACCACUUCCAUAACGAAAAUGAAAUUGACCACCUCAGAAGUGCAAUCUGUGAAAAUGUCAGACAUUGAAGCAAACACCGGUACCGUGGCACCGAGACAGAGACAGUGAACUCACCAGAUCCUAGGCUAACCAACCAAUGAGUUCCAGUAUCAAUGAGAGACUCUACCUCAAACGCUAAGAUGGAAACAGAUGGAGGAUGCCCAACAUCCACCUCUGGUGUCCACACACACACACAGAUGUGCACACACACAGAUGUGCACACACAGAUGUGCACGCACAGAUGUGCACACACAGAUGUGCACACACACAGAUGUGCACACACAGAUGUGCACACACACAGAUGUGCACACACAGAUGUGCACACACAGAUGUGCGCGCACACAGAGGAACACAUAUGUGUAAGAGAUUUAUUUAUUUCUUUUCUUUCAAACAGGUUUAAUGGUUCCGCUUGUGUGCCUCCUUCUUCAGGGUCCUUUGUCAGGUAAGCCUUUGUGAUUUCCUGGAAUUCUGAUAAGCUUAAACAUCACUAUUUCUUCAUUUAUCGUCUCCCUCCCUGUCCCACUCCUUUCUAAAUUAGCCAUUCAGAAGGGGAGUGAGGCUCAGCCAUAAGGAACAUGCAAAGUCCCCCUGCGUUAGGGAUAAAAGGCAAAAGAUGAUGUCUAGAGUACGCGUGCUACGCGUGGCCCCGAUCGAGUGUGCUUACACCCUUCGUGUGCAAAGAAAUGGCCUGGCUGAGUUACUCUUACUUUUACCAUGUGUUCCUCUGUGCAAUACCAAAAUUAUUCUUUCCCAGCCCACAGGCAUACAACACACACACACACACACACACACACACACACACACACACACACACACGCUGCAUGCUGUUUUUUUUCUUCAAAAGGAAGACUGGAGUCCCUGUCUCCUUUCAUGAGCCUCCUCCUGAUCUUGGUGACACAGCCUUAGUAAGUACUAUUUUCCCAGGCCCCAUCAUGCUGGCUCUCCUUGGGAGUAUUUUUUCUUCCUGGAAUGCCUGGAAUUACUGGAAUGCUAUUUACCCACAAACUGCCUUCAACUAGUCAUUUCCUACCUAUUCAGCAACUGUCCUGGCUUGCUUCCCCUGCUCUGAGACACACUCUGACUAAAAGCAAUUUGGGAGGAAAGGGUGUGGGUUUGGGGGUGAGGGGUUUGCUUAGGCAUCUGUCACUAUCAGAUGCCAAGACAGGACUGUCCUUAACUGUACUGCUCCUCUUGGCUCAUUCAGCUUCAUUCUUACCCAACCCUGGCCACCUGUUCAGGAGUACCAGCUGCAGUGAGUUGGACUUUCCCUUAUCACUGAUUAAUCAAGUGAAUGCUCCAAAGAAGUGCCCCCAGAUCAGUUCUCAGUGGACGUUCUCUUCGACCUGGUGACUCUUGUUUUGUGAAGUUGACCCAAAUCAACCAGCACAGUGGCUCACCUAUGGAGUUUUCAGGCUUCCUUAACUGGACAAGAGAAUUGGCUUCACUGCCUUUCUCCAUAAUUAUCUGUUAUUCUUUGGCUUCAGACUCUGCAACAAGGGACUGAGGUGAGUUUUCAAGUACCAAAGCUGACCUGGCCUCCAGGUUCUCCCGGCAUCCCUCAGUCCCUACCUGGCAUACCCUGCCCCACAACUGUGAACUUUGCAGCCCAGGGGUUCUUCCCUAUAUAAUCCAGACUUUCUUGUCUUCUCUCUCUCAUUCUCUCUGUAUACAUGUGCUUGCUUGCUUUUUCUUCCCCUACUCUCUCUCUCUCUCUCUCUCUCUCUCUCUCUCUCUCUCUCUCUCUCUCUCUCUCUCUCUCUCUCUUCACAUAGCAAAUUCCCUGACCUCCACCCUUAGGGUCAGUAAAUCUGGCUUGAAUUGAACUGGCUCAUUUCACCAGCAGAGAACUAACUUACCAGAUGGUGCGGAACCCGGGAGGAGUUGGGUCCCCAGUCUGAUGGCUCCAGUCUUUCCUGCCUGUCCAGGGACCACUUCUCUGCCCCUAUCAGUCUGGAGACAUCAUUUCUUCGGACUCUAGCCAUGCAGUCAUCACCUCCUCACUGGGAUUCUGGAUCUUUGCCAACUCUUGAUCAGCAUGACAUCCUCAGGACCAGCUUGACUCCGACUGCUGCAAUAUCCACAAUUAAAAAGGACCAGCCCCUACUGCUGCUGAGGCCAGGACCUGUGCCAUCAUCUGUGAAUAUACUGCUUCCACAGCAACAAAUUCUAACUGGGUUAAAACAGGGUCAAAAGAGACAAGACAGGCAAAAGUCUCUUGUGAUUCUCUCAGGCUCUGGCCCCUCCCUGGCUCACUCCUUUCUCCUUUAUUGUUCUCAUAUUUAUGUUGUUACCUUGUCUUUAAAUAUUUUACCUACCGAACUUCCCCCACCUUGCCCUACAACAGCUCCAUUUAUUCCUGAUGCAUCUGCACAAAGACCUUCUAUAUGCCAUAGAGAUACUUUGACUAAAGGGAUCUUCUUCCCUUUCAGUCCAGGCCAGAAGCAAUUCCUUACAUCAGUCCUCUAUUUUCUCCAGCUCCCUGCCUUUGCUGCUCUGUGCUCCCUGCUACUUCUGCUGGCUCAGUUUCUGUGAAGUGUGUUGGCGAUGGGAACAGUCGCUGUCACCUUGAAUCAACUCAGUGCCCACUUCCUGUCACUUUCCCUCUCCAUUUCUUCCAAUCCCUCAGUUUCACCAGGAAGUCUUUCAGUUUCACUCCAAAGAUGAGACAUCUGCUUAUGACCCUCUAAUAAGCAUUUCCCAUGUCUCCUCAGGAAUACAAGACAGCAGUCACCUGAUCCACUGCGCCUCAUCAAGUUAAGACUCUGCCUUUCUGGUAAAGACCCUCUUCAACAGAAAACAGCUAUAACACCCCUGCCUCACACUUGUAUAUCCUGUCAGAGUUAGGAAGUAUAACUUCUUGCUGAAAGACUACACUUGCCUUGCUGACUAUGAAGUCAUUUCCACCCCAGUAAGAGGCCACACCCCAUCUUCUUCUGUAGGAACCUUGGCCAUCUGCACAGAUUGAGUGGCUAAUCUGCUUCCCUGCCUGAAUGAAUGUGAUCCCACCUAAGGGCAGACCCAGCCUCUCUUCCUUCCACCUCCCAUCUCUCCACAGCUGCCUUUAGUAACCUAACAAUCACAAGAAA